CAUUAUUGAAUAACGAUUGGCAUUCGAUGCUGGCCCUUCACUGGGCAUGUGCUCAUGUCGGUCUUAUUUAUCUUCUCUUGUGAACAUUUUGUAGUCAAUGCAUUAAUAGGAAAACCUAUGCGCACUUUCAUUAGUUGCGGUCUGAGGGUUGAGUUAAGUCUUCCCUUGUUUCCUUUAUGCGCGCUCAAUCGUUAGUUCGAUUGAGCGCGGUCUGGGAGUUGUUAACCCUUCUCCUGAAUGCAUUCGCGCUUUCAUUAGUGCGGUUUGAGGGUUGAGUCAAGUCUUCCCUUGUUCUUAUGCGUCGGGGAGUUGUUAACCCUUCUCCUGAAUGCAUUGACUAUGUUUUCAUAUACCCUGUAUAAAGUCUUAGAAUGUUAACUUAAGUUGAUUGCGCUCGUCGUAGUCCUUAAAACCCUAUACAACUUUCAGCAACGGAUCUCUUGGCUCUCCUAUCGAUGAAGAACGCAGCGAAAUGCGAUAAGUAAUGUGAAUUGCAGAAUUCAGUGAAUCAUCGAAUCUUUGAACGCACCUUGCGCCCUUUGGUAUUCCGAAGGGCAUGCCUGUUUGAGUGUCAUUAAAUUAUCAACCUCUCUCUCCACUUUGCGGCUUGAGUUAGGCUUGGAUGUGAGGGUUUGCUGGCUUCCUUUAGUGGAUGGUCUGCUCCCUUUAAAUGCAUUAGUGGGAUCUCUUGUGGACCGUCACUUGGUGUGAUAAUUUAUCUACGCCGCUUGACUUUGAAGCAAACUAAUGGGAACCUGCUUAUAACCGUCCAUUGACUUGGACAAAUUUACUUGACAAUUUGACCUCAAAUCAG
rnacentral:rRNA from 2 species